GCAUCGAUGAAGAACGCAGCGAAAUGCGAUAAGUAAUGUGAAUUGCAGAAUUCAGUGAAUCAUCGAAUCUUUGAACGCACCUUGCGCUCCAUGGUAUUCCGUGGAGCAUGCCUGUUUGAGUGUCAUGAAUACUUCAACCCUCCUCCUUCUUAAUGAUUGAAGAGGUGUUUGGUUUCUGAGCGCUGCUGGCCUUUACGGUCUAGCUCGUUCGUAAUGCAUUAGCAUCCGCAAUCGAACUUCGGAUUGACUUGGCGUAAUAGACUAUUCGCUGAGGAAUUCUAGUCUUCGGAUUAGAGCCGGGUUGGGUUAAAGGAAGCUUCUAAUCAGAAUGUCUACAUUUUAAGAUUAGAUCUCAAAUCAGGUAGGACUACCCGCUGAACUUAAGCAUAUCAAUAAGCGGAGGA
rnacentral:rRNA from 1 species